CAAGCUCCUCAACAAAACAGAUAUGGAUGUUUCAGCAUUCAAAAUAUCUGUAGUGGACAAUAUAUCACAGGCUGAAAAGAUUGAAGAUACUGGGAUGUACAUGAUGAAGAUGAUGGAAUGCUAUGCUAUGCAUAUUAAUGCAAAUGAGAAACUUUCAGAAGGAAAAAUUGGAGACAUGAGAAAGAAACUUGCGGUUGACAUCUUUACAGAAAUAACAGAUUUCUAGGUAAGACUUCUCUCAGGUUUUAACAUGUAAAUUAAAAACCUACAACUAAGCUUAUAUUUCUUGAUUUAUUACUUUGAUCAGGGGCUAAUUGUAAGAGCUGGGAAGAAAAGAUUGCUGGGGAAAAAUGAUCUAUUCUUUUUGAAGAAAACGUUGCUGUUUUACAAAUUUUUAAUUUUUGCUGAGAAUAUCUGUAGUGAUUUUCGCAUGAAUUUUACUUUGUAUAACUCUCUAGUUGUGAAUUUAAGUUUUUUUUUUCUA